rnacentral:rRNA from 1 species
GAUGAACGCUGGCGGCAUGCCUAAUACAUGCAAGUCGAACGGACUUGAGGAGAGCUUGCUUUCCGCAAGUCAGUGGCGAACGGGUGAGUAACACGUAGGCAACCUGCCCAUGUACCCGGGAUAACAGACGGAAACGACUGCUAAAACCGGAUAGGUAAGAGGGAGGCAUCUUCCGCUUAUCAAAGCACCCAAGGGUGUGGACAUGGAUGGGCCUGCGGCGCAUUAGCCGGUUGGCGGGGUAACGGCCCACCAAAGCAAUGAUGCGUAGCCGACCUGAGAGGGCGAACGGCCACAUUGGGACUGAGACACGGCCCAA